GACGAACGCUGGCGGCGUGCCUAAUACAUGCAAGUAGAACGCUGAAGAGAGGAGCUUGCUCUUCUUGGAUGAGUUGCGAACGGGUGAGUAACGCGUAGGUAACCUGCCUUGUAGCGGGGGAUAACUAUUGGAAACGAUAGCUAAUACCGCAUAACAAUGGAUGACACAUGUCAUUUAUUUGAAAGGGGCAAUUGCUCCACUACAAGAUGGACCUGCGUUGUAUUAGCUAGUAGGCGAGGUAAUGGCUCACCUAGGCGACGAUACAUAGCCGACCUGAGAGGGUGAUCGGCCACACUGGGACUGAGACACGGCCCAGACUCCUACGGGAGGCAGCAGUAGGGAAUCUUCGGCAAUGGGGGCAACCCUGACCGAGCAACGCCGCGUGAGUGAAGGAGGUUUUCGGAUCGUAAAGCUCUGUUGUAAGUCAAGAACGGGUGUGAGAGUGGAAAGUUCACACUGUGACGGUAGCUUACCAGAAAGGGACGGCUAACUACGUG
rnacentral:rRNA from 1 species